rnacentral:lncRNA from 1 species
GACAUACUCCCGAGUCUUUGGAUUUACGCUUAUUCUAAGCUGCGGAGGGAGCUGGGACGUAGGAUAUUGCAGGCUCAGGCAUGAAGGCCAUGACUGAUGGUCUGGAGAAGGUCUCUUCCUCUGGGACAGGGUCUUCAGCCUUGAAGUCAAGGGAAGCAUCAUUGUAGACAUCCCACCAUUUCUGAACUAACAUCUUGAUAUCUUCUCUGUCCAUAUUAGCUUCUUUGCCUGUGUACCUCCAUGGUUUUGAUCCCUAUUUCAUUGAAUAAUACCGGAUAAAUGUCAUAAAAGUUAGCAAGGACUAUCGUUCAUUGCCGCCAAUAGAUAAAAAGCGUGCAUAUAUAGGGGAAUUGCAUAC